ensembl:lncRNA
GGAACACGUUCAGAUGUUUUCAGAGGCUCUUGCAGAAGCCUCCCUUGGCGGCUAGCCAGAAACGUUCAUCAGCUAAAGAUAACUGCCGUUGGAAACCUGCCUCGGUGCCAGUAAGGCCUGGCAUGUACCUGGCAUGUCAGGCAAACAGAGUGCGCUUCCUUCCUGAGGUACUGAGUCACACCAUGGAUCUGUCUUUAGAAAUGGCUCAGGAAUGCCUCUGCCAGGCUGGAGCAGUUAAGCAGCUGGUGGACUUCAAACUCGGAUUUUACCUGGGUGUCUCAGCCUCUUCAAUCUCCUCGGGCUUUGUUGCUGGCCAAUGCCUGCUGUACUUGGGGAGAACUAUCUCCAACCAAUGGACUCCAUCCUCUACCCAAAAGAAUAAGUCCUUCCUUCAGUCAACAGCUGAAGCAAAGUCAUCCCCUCUGAUCCCGAUGCCAUCAAGUAUGCUUUGGGGGUGGUCUCUUCACGACACCCCCUUACCUGUAUGCAGCAAUACAUGUAUGCUGAUAUGCUGCGAUGUAUUUACCAACAACAUAUUUACCAGAAGGAGCCACGGCCUACAAGGAAGGAGAACCAACGCAGCAUGAAAGAGUGGAGGAGAGUUUUGAUUUACUAAUUGCAAAACUGCAUUGUAUUCAACCAUAAGGAGUAAACAGAACUUGGCACCCAGCACAUAUAAGACAGUAUGAAAGAACUCCACACUCUCCUACAUAGAUAUUAUUAAAUGUCAGUAGAUCAGUCAUGUAAUCUUCUUAAUUCUGUACAUUAGAAAUGAGGCCCUAAUUGCAAGUGCUCUAAACUAUAGCAGGGUAAAGGUAUGCCUGCUCUGGGCUGACACUUCCCUUUAGUUUAUACAGUGAAUGAUGACUAGACAAAAAGCUAUACCAAAGAGCUCAGUGGAACCUGCCAAAGCAUCAGUAUAUGUUUUAUAGAAAGAAAAUGUACAAAAUGAGUAAGAUUUAUGCAUACUGAAAACAUAUUUGCCAAAUUCUGUGGAACUGGGAAAUAUUAAUUGAUAGUGCAUUUUUUUUAAAGCAGAAUAUUAAUUGCAAUUAUUCAGAGUCCAGUUCUGCUUUCCUUGUGCUGUGACUAAUCUAACGAAGAUGAAUAGGCUACUUGUGGAAUAAGAAACUACUCAGCAUGACUAACGGUGGUGGAAUUGAGCCCUCCACAAAUAUUAUGAACCAGUUCUGAAAUGGUGCUCAUUUUGUGUCCUACUGAAAGACAGAUGAUUUUGUCCCAUCUUUAGGUUUCCAACAUGCCCAGAAAGGAGUCCUUCCAAAUGAUACUAACUAAAAAGAUUGUCAUGAGUAGUGCAGAAUAUAUACUUACAGCUGCAAAAUAGCUGCUUCAUGUAUGAGGAGUGAAAUCACAGUUCCAAACUUUAAAUCUCAAGAAGGCAGGAUCUCUGCUGGAGUGUUAUGCUGGUUGAAGUUUAACCUUCAGUGUCAAAAUGAUGCACUGGGCAUUUGGGAGUCAGCUGCAGGCAGGUAGUAUGAAAGCACAGCUCAGGACCAUCCCCUGCAUUUCUCUGUUCUGCAGCCAUCUGUUGUACAGAGCUGAUGCUCUCAGUGGCGUUCAUUACGA